AUCGAUUUUUUAGUACAUAUGCACUAUUUCGUCUUAUUUGAGUAGACAUAGAGCGUAACGACAGUGUAUUUGGAAAAAUUUCACAAUCUUAUCGUAGAAUCGAUUUUUUAGUACAUAUGCACUAAGCAAUCGAUACCAAGUUGCGUAAAAAUAUGAACUAUACAUAUUUAUGCUAAUUAGCCGUUUUGAGGUUAUUGGAGUUUUCAUAUAGCCAUAACGACAGUGAAUUUGGAAAAAUUUCACAAUCUUAUAAUAGGGCGUAGAAUCGAUUUUUUAGUACAUAUGCACUAAGCAAUCGAUACCAAGUUGCGUAAAAAUAUGAACUAUACAUAUUUAUGCUAAUUAACCGUCUUGAGUUUAUUUGAGUUAUCAUAUAGCCAUAACGACAGUGCAUUUGAAAAAAUUUCACAAUCUUAUCGUAGAAUCGAUUUUUUAGUACAUAUGCACUAAGCAAUCGAUACCAAGUUGCGUAAAAAUAUGAACUAUACAUAUUUAUGCUAAUUAGCCGUUUUGAGGUUAUUGGAGUUGUCAUAUAGCCAUAACGACAGUGAAUUUGGAAAAAUUUCACAAUCUUAUAUUGAGGUGCAGAACCGAUUUUUUAGUACAUAUACAUUAAGCACUCGAUUGCAAGUAGCGCAAAAAUAUGAACUAUACAUAUUUAUGCUAAUUAGCCGUUUUGAGGUUAUUGGAGUUGUCAUAUAGCCAUAACGACAGUGAAUUUGGAAAAAUUUCACAAUCUUAUAUUGAGGUGCAGAACCGAUUUUUUAGUACAUAUACUUUAAGUACUCGAUUGUAAAUUGCGUAAAAAUAUCAACUAUACAUAUUUAAGCUAAUUAGCCGUUUUGAGAUUAUUGGAGUUGUCAUGUAGCCAUAACGACAGUGAAUUUGGAAAAAUUUCACAAUCUUAUAUUAAGGUGUAGAAUCGAUUUUUUAGUACAUAUGCACUAAGUAACCGAUAAAAAGUUGCGUAAAAAUAUGAACUUCGCAUAUUUAUUCCAAUCAGCCAUAACGACAGUGAAUUUGGAAAAAUUUCACAAUCUUAUAUUGAGAUGCAGAACCGAUUUUUUAGUACAUAUACAUUAAGCACUCGAUUGCAAGUAGCGUAAAAAUAUGAACUAUACAUAUUUGUGCUAAUUAGCCGUUUUGAUGUUAUUGGAGUUUUCAUAUAGUCAUAACGACAGUGAAUUUGGAAAAAUUUCACAAUCUUAUAAUAAGGCGUAGAAUCGAUUUUUUAGUACAUAUGCACUAAGCAAUCGAUACCAAGUUGCGUAAAAAUAUGAACUAUACAUAUUUAUGCUAAUUAGCCGUUUUGAUGUUAUUGGAGUUUUCAUAUAGCCAUAACGACAGUGAAUUUGGAAAAAUUUCACAAUCUUAUCGUAGAAUAGAUUUUUUGGUACAUAUGCACUAAGCAAUCGAUACCAAGUUGCGUAAAAAUAUGAACUAUACAUAUUUAUGCUAAUUAACCGUCUUGAGUUUAUUUGAGUUAUCAUAUAGCCAUAACGACAGUGCAUUUGAAAAAAUUUCACAAUCUUAUCGUAGAAUCGAUUUUUUAGUACAUAUGCACUAAGCAAUCGAUACCAAGUUGCGUAAAAAUAUGAACUAUACAUAUUUAUGCUAAUUAGCCGUUUUGAGGUUAUUGGAGUUGUCAUAUAGCCAUAACGACAGUGAAUUUGGAAAAAUUUCACAAUCUUAUAUUGAGAUGCAGAACCGAUUUUUUAGUACAUAUACAUUAAUCACUCGAUACCAAGUUGCGUAACAAUAUGAACUAUACAUAUUUAUGCUAAUUAGCCGUUUUGAGGUUAUUUGAAUUGUCAUAUAGCCAUAACGACGGUGUAUUUGGAAAAAUUUCACAAUCUUAUCGUAGAAUAGAUUUUUUGGUACAUAUGCACUAAGCAAUCGAUACCAAGUUGCGUAAAAAUAUGAACUAUACAUAUUUAUGCUAAUUAGCCGUUUUGAUGUUAUUGGAGUUUUCAUAUAGCCAUAACGACAGUGAAUUUGGAAAAAUUUCACAAUCUUAUAAUAGGGCGUAGAAUCGAUUUUUUAGUACAUAUGCACUAAGCAAUCGAUACCAAGUUGCGUAAAAAUAUGAACUAUACAUAUUUAUGCUAAUUAACCGUCUUGAGUUUAUUUGAGUUAUCAUAUAGCCAUAACGACAGUGCAUUUGAAAAAAUUUCACAAUCUUAUCGUAGAAUCGAUUUUUUAGUACAUAUGCACUAAGCAAUCGAUACCAAGUUGCGUAAAAAUAUGAACUAUACAUAUUUAUGCUAAUUAGCCGUUUUGAGGUUAUUGGAGUUGUCAUAUAGCCAUAACGACAGUGAAUUUGGAAAAAUUUCACAAUCUUAUAUUGAGGUGCAGAACCGAUUUUUUAGUACAUAUACUUUAAGCACUCGAUUGUAAAUUGCGUAAAAAUAUCAACUAUACAUAUUUAAGCUAAUUAGCCGUUUUGAGAUUAUUGGAGUUGUCAUGUAGCCAUAACGACAGUGAAUUUGGAAAAAUUUCACAAUCUUAUAUUAAGGUGUAGAAUCGAUUUUUUAGUACAUAUGCACUAAGUAACCGAUAAAAAGUUGCGUAAAAAUAUGAACUUCGCAUAUUUAUUCCAAUCAGCCAUAACGACAGUGAAUUUGGAAAAAUUUCACAAUCUUAUAUUGAGAUGCAGAACCGAUUUUUUAGUACAUAUACAUUAAGCACUCGAUUGCAAGUAGCGUAAAAAUAUGAACUAUACAUAUUUAUGCUAAUUAGCCGUUUUGAGGUUAUUGGAGUUGUCAUAUAGCCAUAACGACAGUGAAUUUGGAAAAAUUUCACAAUCGUAUAUUAAGGUGUAGAAUCGAUUUUUUAAUACAUAUACAUUAAUCACUCGAUACCAAGUUGCGUAACAAUAUGAACUAUACAUAUUUAUGCUAAUUAGCCGUUUUGAGGUUAUUUGAAUUGUCAUAUAGCCAUAACGACGGUGUAUUUGGAAAAAUUUCACAAUCUUAUCGUAGAAUAGAUUUUUUGGUACAUAUGCACUAAGCAAUCGAUACCAAGUUGCGUAAAAAUAUGAACUAUACAUAUUUAUGCUAAUUAGCCGUUUUGGAGUUAUUGGAGUUGUCAUAUAACCAUAACGACAGUGAAUUUGGAAAAAUUACACAAUCUUAUAUUAAGGUGUAGAAUCGAUUUUUUAGUACAUAUGCACUAAGUAACCGAUAAAAAGUUGCGUAAAAAUAUGAACUUCGCAUAUUUAUUCCAAUCAGCCAUAACGACAGUGAAUUUGGAAAAAUUUCACAAUCUUAUAUUGAAGUGCAGAACCGAUUUUUUAAUACAUAUACAUUAAGCACUCGAUACCAAGUUGCGUAAAAAUAUGAACUAUACAUAUUUAUGCUAAUUAGCCGUUUUGAGGUUAUUUGAAUUGUCAUAUAGCCAUAACGACGGUGUAUUUGGAAAAAUUUCACAAUCUUAUAUUAAGGUGUAGAAUCGAUUUUUUAGUACAUAUGCACUAUUUCAUCUUAUUUGAGUAGUCAUAUAGCCAUAACGACAGUGAAUUUGGAAAAAUUUCACAAUCUUAUAUUAAGGUGUAGAAUCGAUUUUUUAGUACAUAUGCACUAAGUAACCGAUAAAAAGUUGCGUAAAAAUAUGAACAUCGCAUAUUUAUUCCAAUCAGCCAUAACGACAGUGAAUUUGGAAAAAUUUCACAAUCUUAUAUUGAGGUGCAGAACCGAUUUUUUAAUACAUAUACAUUAAGCACUCGAUACCAAGUUGCGUAAAAAUAUGAACUAUACAUAUUUAUGCUAAUUAGCCGUUUUGAUGUUAUUGGAGUUUUCAUAUAGCCAUAACGACAGUGAAUUUGGAAAAAUUUCACAAUCUUAUAUUAAGCCGUAGAAUCGAUUUUUUAGUACAUAUGCACUAAGAAAUCGAUACCAAGUUGCGUAAAAAUAUGAACUAUACAUAGUUAUGCUAAUCAGCUGUAUUGACGUUAUUGGAGUUGUCAUAUAGCCAUAACGACAGUGAAUUUGGAAAAAUUUCACAAUCUUAUAUUAAGGUGUAGAAUCGAUUUUUUAGUACAUUUGCACUAUUUCGUCUUAUUUGAGUAGACAUAUGGCGUAACGACAGUGCAUUUGGAAAAAUUUCACAAUCUUAUAAUAAGGCGUAGAAUCGAUUUUUUAGUACAUAUGCACUAAGCAAUCGAUACCAAGUUACGUAAAAAUGUGACCUAUACAUAUUUAUGUUAAUUAGCCGUUUUGAGGUUAUUGGAGUUGUCAUACAGCCAUAACGACAGUGUAUUUGGAUAAAUUUCCCAAUCUUAUAUUAAAGCGUAGAAUCGAUUUUUUAGUACAUUUGCACUAUUUCGUCUUAUUUGAGUAGACAUAUGGCGUAACGACAGUGCAUUUGGAAAAAUUUCACAAUCUUAUAAUAAGGCGUAGAAUCGAUUUUUUACUACAUAUGCACUAAGCAAUCGAUACCAAGUUACGUAAAAAUGUGACCUAUACAUAUUUAUGUUAAUUAGCCGUUUUGAGGUUAUUGGAGUUGUCAUACAGCCAUAACGACAGUGUAUUUGGAAAAAUUUCCCAAUCUUAUAUUAAAGCGUAGAAUCGAUUUUUUAGCACAUAUGCACUAAGCAAUCAAUACCAAGUUGCGUAAAAAUAUGAACUAUACAUAGUUAUGCUAAUCAGCUGUAUUGAAGUUAUUGGAGUUGUCAUAUAGCGUAACGACAGUACAUUUGGAAAAAUUUCCCAAUCUUAUAUUAAGGUGUAGUAUCGAUUUUUUAGUACGUAUGCACUAAGCAAUCGAUACCAAGUUGCGUAAAAAUAUGAACUAUACAUAUUUAUGCUAAUUAACCGUUUUGAGGUUAUUGGAGUUGUCACAUAGCCAUAAAGACAGUGAAUUUGCAAAAAUGUCACAAUCUUAUGUUACAUAUUUGUGCUAAUUAUCCGUUUUGAAGUUAUUGGAGUUGUCAUAUAGCCAUAACGACAGUGUACAUAUUUGAAAAAUUCCACAAUCUUAUAUUAAGGCGUAGCAUCGAUUUGUUAGUACAUAUGCACUAAGCAAUCGAUACCAAGUUGCGUAAAAAUAUGAACUAUGAAUAUUUAUGCUAGUUAGCCGUUUUGAAGUUAUUGGAGUUGUCACAUAGCCAUAAAGACAGUGAAUUUGCAAAAAUGUCACAAUAUUAUGUUACAUAUUUGUGCUAAUUAGCCGUUUUGAAGUUAUUGGAGUUGUCAUAUAGCCAUAACGACAGUGUACAUAUUUGGAAAAAUUUCACAAUCUUAUAUUAAGGUGUAGAAUCGAUUUGUUAGUACAUAUGCACUAAGCAAUCGAUACCAAGUUGCGUAAAAAUAUGAACUAUACAUAUUUGUGCUAAUUAGCCGUUUUGAAGUUAUUGGAGUUGUCAUAUAGCCAUAACGACAGUGAAUUUGGAAAAAUUUCACAAUCUUAUAAUAAGGCGUAGAAUCGAUUUUUUAGUACAUAUGCACUAAGCAAUCGAUACCAAGUUGCGUAAAAAUAUGAACUAUGAAUAUUUAUGCUAGUUAGCCGUUUUGAAGUUAUUUGAGUUAUCAUAUAGCCAUAACGACAGUGCAUUUGGAAAAAUUUCACAAUCAUAUAUUAAGGUGUAGAAUCGAUUUGUUAGUACAUAUGCACUAAGCAAUCGAUACCAAGUUGCGUAAAAAUAUGAACUAUGAAUAUUUAUGCUAGUUAGCCGUUUUGAGUUUAUUUGAGUUAUCAUAUAGCCGUAACGACAGUGCAUUUGGAAAAAUUUCACAUUCUUAUCGUAGAAUCGAUUUUUUAGCACAUAUGCACUAAGCAAUCAAUACCAAGUUGCGUAAAAAUAUGAACUAUACAUAGUUAUGCUAAUCAGCUGUAUUGAAGUUAUUGGAGUUGUCAUAUAGCGUAACGACAGUACAUUUGGAAAAAUUUCCCAAUCAUAUAUUAAGGUGUAGAAUCGAUUUGUUAGCACAUAUGCACUAAGCAAUCGAUACCAAGUUGCGUAAAAAUAUGAACUAUGAAUAUUUAUGCUAGUUAGCCGUUUUGAGUUUAUUUGAGUUAUCAUAUAGCCGUAACGACAGUGCAUUUGGAAAAAUUUCACAUUCUUAUCGUAGAAUCGAUUUUUUAGCACAUAUGCACUAAGCAAUCAAUACCAAGUUGCGUAAAAAUAUGAACUAUACAUAUUUAUGCUAAUUAACCGUUUUGAGGUUAUUGGAGUUGUCAGAUAGCCAUAAAGACAGUGAAUUUGCAAAAAUGUCACAAUCUUAUGUUACAUAUUUGUGCUAAUUAGCCGUUUUGAAGUUAUUGGAGUUGUCAUAUAGCCAUAACGACAGUGUACAUAUUUGGAAAAAUUCCACAAUCUUAUAUUAAGGUGUAGAAUCGAUUUUUUUUAGUACAUAUGCACUAUUUCAUCUUGUUGGAGUUGUCAUAUAGCGUAACGGCAGUGCAUUUGGAAAAAUUGCACAAUCUUAUAUUAAGGCGUAGAAUCGAUUUUUUAGUACAUAUGCACUAAGCAAUCGAUACCAAGUUGCGUAAAAAUAUGAACUAUACAUAUUUAUGCUAAUUAACCGUUUUGAAAUUAUUGGAGUUGUCACAUAGCCAUAACGACAGUGUAUGUGGAAAAAUUUCACAAUCUUAUAUUAAGGUGUAGAAUCGAUUUUUUUUAGUACAUAUGCACUAUUUCAUCUUGUUGGAGUUGUCAUAUAGCGUAACGGCAGUGCAUUUGGAAAAAUUGCACAAUCUUAUAUUAAGGCGUAGAAUCGAUUUUUUAGUACAUAUGCACUAAGCAAUCGAUACCAAGUUGCGUAAAAAUAUGAACUAUACAUAUUUAUGCUAAUUAACCGUUUUGAGGUUAUUGGAGUUGUCACAUAGCCAUAAAGACAGUGAAUUUGCAAAAAUGUCACAAUCUUAUGUUACAUAUUUGUGCUAAUUAGCCGUUUUGAGUUUAUUUGAGUUAUCAUAUAGCCAUAACGACAGUGUACAAAUUUGGAAAAAUUCCACAAUCUUAUAUUAAGGCGUAGCAUCGAUUUGUUAGUACAUAUGCACUAAGCAAUCGAUACCAAGUUGCGUAAAAAUAUGAACUAUGAAUAUUUAUGCUAGUUAGCCGUUUUGAAGUUAUUUGAGUUAUCAUAUAGCCAUAACGACAGUGCAUUUGGAAAAAUUUCACAAUCAUAUAUUAAGGUGUAGAAUCGAUUUGUUAGUACAUAUGCACUAAGCAAUCGAUACCAAGUUGCGUAAAAAUAUGAACUAUGAAUAUUUAUGCUAGUUAGCCGUUUUGAGUUUAUUUGAGUUAUCAUAUAGCCGUAACGACAGUGCAUUUGGAAAAAUUUCACAUUCUUAUCGUAGAAUCGAUUUUUUAGCACAUAUGCACUAAGCAAUCAAUACCAAGUUGCGUAAAAAUAUGAACUAUACAUAGUUAUGCUAAUCAGCUGUAUUGAAGUUAUUGGAGUUGUCAUAUAGCGUAACGACAGUACAUUUGGAAAAAUUUCCCAAUCUUAUAUUAAGGUGUAGAAUCGAUUUUUUAGUACAUAUGCACUAAGCAAUCGAUACCAAGUUGCGUAAAAAAAGGAACUA